rnacentral:tRNA from 1 species
UUAAUUGAAGCCAAAAUUUGCGGCAUAUCACUGUUAAUGAUAACAUUGGAAAAAUUUCCCAAUUAAA